rnacentral:rRNA from 1 species
UACGGAGGGUGCUAGCGUUGUUCGGAAUCACUGGGCGUAAAGGGCGUGUAGGCGGCUUGCCAAGUCAGGGGUGAAAUCCUGCAGCUUAACUGUAGAAGGGCCUUUGAUACUGGCGAGCUCGAGGGAGGUAGGGGUAUGUGGAACUUCCGGUGGAGCGGUGAAAUGCGUUGAUAUCGGAAGGAACGCCGGUGGCGAAAGCGACGUACUGGACCUCUUCUGACGCUGAGGCGCGAAAGCUAGGGGAGCAAACGGG